rnacentral:rRNA from 1 species
UACGGAGGGUGCAAGCGUUAUCCGGAUUCACUGGGUUUAAAGGGUGCGUAGGUGGGUUGGUAAGUCAGUGGUGAAAUCUCCGAGCUUAACUUGGAAACUGCCAUUGAUACUAUCAGUCUUGAAUAUUGUGGAGGUUAGCGGAAUAUGUCAUGUAGCGGUGAAAUGCUUAGAUAUGACAUAGAACACCAAUUGCGAAGGCAGCUGGCUACGCAUAUAUUGGCACUGAGGCACGAAAGCGUGGGGAUCAAACAGG